GUGGGGAAUAUUGGGCAAUGGGCGUAAGCCUGACCCAGCAACGCCGCGUGAAGGAAGAAGGCUUUCGGGUUGUAAACUUCUUUUACCAGGGACGAAACAAAUGACGGUACCUGGUGAAUAAGCCACGGCUAACUACGUGCCAGCAGCCGCGGUAAUACGUAGGUGGCGAGCGUUAUCCGGAUUUAUUGGGUGUAAAGGGCGUGUAGGCGGGACAGCAAGUCAGAUGUGAAAACCAGAGGCUCAACCUCUGGCCUGCAUUUGAAACUGUUGUUCUUGAGUGUCGGAGAGGUAAUCGGAAUUCCGUGUGUAGCGGUGAAAGGCGUAGAUAUACGGAGGAACACCAGUGGCGAAGGCGGAUUACUGGACGAUAACUGACGCUGAGGCGCGAAAGCGUGGGGAGCAAACAGGAUUAGAAACCCUGGUAGUCC
rnacentral:rRNA from 1 species